rnacentral:misc_RNA from 1 species
GACCUUCAACUAUAAUGUGUUGAAGUGGAGCCCAACCAUUAGGAAAGUCCCAUUGUUGUCCCGAAUUUGUUAAAGAAGUGGCAAUUCCAGCAGCACAAAUCAAGCCUGAACUUCGAAGACUUCUCAUGAUAGUCUCCACCAAAGUAGCAUCUGAAUUGAACAGAUCAAUCCACAAAGGGAAAAAGUUUGAAGCAAACACAUUCUGA